rnacentral:rRNA from 1 species
UUAUCCGGAUUAUUGGGCGUAAGCGCGCGUAGGCGGUUUUUUAAGUCUGAUGUGAAAGCCCACGGCACAACCGUGGAGGGUCAUUGGAAACUGGAAAACUUGAGUGCAGAAGAGGAAAGUGGAAUUCCAUGUGUAGCGGUGAAAUGCGCAGAGAUAUGGAGGAACACCAGUGGCGAAGGCGACUUUCUGGUCUGUAACUGACGCUGAUGUGCGAAAGCGUGGGGAUCAAACAGGAUUAGAUACCCCAGUAGU